rnacentral:misc_RNA from 1 species
AAAAUAUUUACCAAGCGGCUUAGAUGACAAAAGAAAGCCCAUGAGAAAUAAGUCACAUCUCCAUAGAAGACGUAAAAGGGAGUUGAAGGCUUUUGAUCUUUCUACUCUGUCAGAGUUUCUUCCAGGAUUGGAGGCCCCUAAACAAAAACCUUCUGCGGCUGAUUUAAAACUAAAUUGCAAGUCUAGGCUAAAGUUUAUAUUGAAGGAGAGAGAGCAAAUGGGUACUGUUCUUAAUCACCCUGUAUUUCAGGCAGA